rnacentral:rRNA from 1 species
AGGGUUUGAUCCUGGCUCAGGAUGAACGCUAGCGGCAGGCUUAACACAUGCAAGUCGAGGGGUAACAGGAAUUGCUUGCAAUUCGCUGACGACCGGCGCACGGGUGCGUAACGCGUAUACAAUCUACCUUUUACAGAGGGAUAGCCCGAAGAAAUUCGGAUUAAUACCUCAUAAUAUUGUUUAACCGCAUGGUUGAAUAAUUAAAGUUUCGGCGGUAAAAGAUGAGUAUGCGUUCUAUUAGUUAGUUGGUAAGGUAACGGCUUACCAAGACAGCGAUAGAUAGGGGUCCUGAGAGGGAGAUCCCCCACACUGGUACUGAGACACGGACCAGACUCCUACGGGAGGCAGCAGUGAGGAAUAUUGGACAAUGGGCGAGAGCCUGAUCCAGCCAUGCCGCGUGCAGGAAGGACUGCCCUAUGGGUUGUAAACUGCUUUUAUACAGGAAGAAACACUCCCUCGUGAGGGAGCUUGACGGUACUGUAAGAAUAAGGAUCGGCUAACUCCGUGCCAGCAGCCGCGGUAAUACGGAGGAUCCAAGCGUUAUCCGGAAUCAUUGGGUUUAAAGGGUCCGUAGGUGGAUAAUUAAGUCAGAGGUGAAAGUUUGCGGCUCAACCGUAAAAUUGCCUUUGAUACUGGUUAUCUUGAGUUAUUGUGAAGUAGUUAGAAUAUGUAGUGUAGCGGUGAAAUGCAUAGAUAUUACAUAGAAUACCAAUUGCGAAGGCAGAUUACUAACAAUAUACUGACACUGAUGGACGAAAGCGUGGGUAGCGAACAGGAUUAGAUACCCUGGUAGUCCACGCCGUAAACGAUGGAUACUAGCUGUUGGGCUGUUGGGCUUCGGCUCAGUGGCUAAGCGAAAGUGAUAAGUAUCCCACCUGGGGAGUACGUUCGCAAGAAUGAAACUCAAAGGAAUUGACGGGGGCCCGCACAAGCGGUGGAGCAUGUGGUUUAAUUCGAUGAUACGCGAGGAACCUUAUCAGGGCUUAAAUGUAAGUUGCAUGAUUUAGAGAUAGCUUUUUCUUCGGACUACUUACAAGGUGCUGCAUGGUUGUCGUCAGCUCGUGCCGUGAGGUGUCAGGUUAAGUCCUAUAACGAGCGCAACCCCUGUUGUUAGUUGCCAGCGAGUCAUGUCGGGAACUCUAACAAGACUGCCAGUGCAAACUGUGAGGAAGGUGGGGAUGACGUCAAAUCAUCACGGCCCUUACGUCCUGGGCUACACACGUGCUACAAUGGUAGGUACAGAGGGCAGCCACUGCGCGAGCAGGAGCGAAUCCUUAAAACCUAUCUCAGUUCGGAUCGGAGUCUGCAACUCGACUCCGUGAAGCUGGAAUCGCUAGUAAUCGGAUAUCAGCCAUGAUCCGGUGAAUACGUUCCCGGGCCUUGUACACACCGCCCGUCAAGCCAUGGAAGCUGGGAGUGCCUGAAGUCGGUGACCGCAAGGAGCUGCCUAGGGUAAAACUAGUAACUGGGGCUAAGUCGAAACAAGGUAGCCGUA